rnacentral:rRNA from 1 species
UACGGAGGGGCUAGCGUUGUUCGGAAUACUGGGCGUAAAGCGCGCGUAGGCGGACCUGGCAAGUCCGGGGGUGAAAGCCCGAGGCUCAACCUCGGAACUGCCUUCGAUACUGCGGGUCUCGGAGUCCGGGAGAGGCGAGUGGAAUUCCGAGUGUAGAGGUGAAAUUCGUAGAUAUUCGGAAGAACACCAGUGGCGAAGGCGACUCGCUGGACAGACAUUGACGCUGAGGUGCGAAAGCGUGGGGAGCAAACAGG